GAGAGGCAGCGGGGCGGCCGCGAGGGAGGGGCGCGGGCGGCGGUCUGCCUUGCAGGGCUGUUGUGCGGAGCCGAGCAACGGCUGGGGAAAGGACGGUGGGCGGAAAGGUGACUCCGGGGGACGGUGGAGGACAGGACAGGGAGGCCUGGGGGGAUGCUGUCCAGGGGGUCGCCAUGCGUCGGACGGGACUCCGCGACUGACAACAACAACAACAACAACAACGAGGCAGGGACAGUGACACGCCCCGCCGACGUGAAACACACCCGGGAAGCCACGUGCUGAGACCCAGUGAUUCACCACGACUAUCUUCAUUUCUGCUGCGCCCGGAACGCAAAACAGCUUACCUGAUUCUCCUCCUCUUCCUCUCCAUGUUCUUCUCACAACAACAACCCUGUGAGUAAUCAAACUCUGCUCUUCUGGGUUUAGACCAGAAGGCACAAGACGAGCCGUGGCUUGCCAAGAGAAAGAUGCUCAGAAUGGAAAUGCAGAAUCCAGAGACCUGUUCGAAGCUGGGAUUGGAACAGCCAGGACUGGAGGCAGUUCUCUGUAGACCAGGCUAGCUAAGUGUCCUGAGAAAGCCGCCCAGCAACUGAAGUUCGCAGGCAGGGUUCAAAACAGUUAAGAACUGAAUGUACAUGCUUUUAAAAGACGAUGCAGAAGGAAACCAGGAUAAAUCUAGCAGCAAAGAAUAAAACCAUCCUAGGGCCAUCGAACCCAGAAUUAAAGCAGCUGCAGAAUGGCGCACAAACCGCACGUUUAAAAUGUUUCCAACAUACCCAGGUGAUAAUAAAAAUGUUUUAAUAAAUAAAUAAAUAAUAGCAGCA